rnacentral:lncRNA from 10 species
AGAUAAUAAUCAUGUUUUGUUAUAAAUAGCUAAGUUUUGGUAUAAUCUGUUAUACAGCAUACAUUGAGUAAUUCAAGCUCCCACAUCAAGUGUCUGACUACAUAGGGUUUGAGGUGGAACUUAGAAUAUAUAUUUAAUGUAAGCACCCUUCUGAUUUUGAUGCAGGAACUCAGUCUUUAGGUGUCAGAAUAGCUGCAAGCUUGUAUUAGUUUAAAAGCACCUAUGCCUGACGUCAGCUCCAUAUUUGUAAUAUUUUGUGAGUAAUCAUCUCCCUUACUCUACCUCCUGAUCAAGCACAUGGAGCAAGUGGUAUUACCUGCUAAGUUUUCUGCUUUUUAAAACAAGUAGGUGGACUUCUCAUUAUUAUAAAAAUAGUACAUACUCAUUGUAAAACAUGAAGAAUAUAAAAACAUAUUAAGAAUGGAAAGCAUACUUAUAGAUUCUCCAAGCCUCUCUACUUUGAUACAUGCCCUUCAUAUUUAGUCACAAAUAAUCAUUGUACUAUCGUCAUACAGUUUCUCAUUAAGUUUUCACUUACCACUGAAACAGUGACUGUCAUGCAGUAGAGUUCAAUAUUUGUUGAAUAACUAUUUUGUGAUAAAUUUACAAAUUAUUCAACAUUUUUUGAAAAACAAAUAAAUGAAUAACAUUGCAUCGUGUAUAUGUACUAUCAUUUAUUUUUAAAGUACUAGAUGAAAAGUCAUAAACAAUACUAAAAGUUUUGAUACAUUUUGUCAUGUUGCUUUUGGGAGAAGUUAUGGUAUUCUGAUUUUGAACAUGAUAUUAAAUGGCUAAGGUUUCCCAGGAAAAAUGUAUAGGUUUUGUAACAAAAUAAAACAAAGGUGAGAGAUGAGAGAAAGUGAGUGGCAUGGAAUUUAUAGACACAAAAUCAAAGCUAUACACUUAAAUUUGAUCCUACUUACCUCAAAAUUUGGGGAAACAGAAGCUUCAAGAGAGUAGAAAAGUAAGUAAAUUGCAGAAGAGAAAGAAUGAUGUACAGAAAUGAAAGUGGAGUAUAUCUCUCCACAUAUCUACAGACAUCUAGCUAAAACUUCUCUAAGUAGUAAGCAGCAAACUUGAGAAAAGAAAGCCUGGCAGUGAGCUGAUCUCUCACAAGAAUAUUUCUUAUUACGGUGUGAUUUCAAACAAAGAGAUGAUGAGGUUAAACCUAUGGGCAAUUGUGCUUAUUGUUCUGUGGUGGCAGAGUGACCAUUAUGGAAACUUUAAGGCACAAAAUGUUCCUGAGAAUAUUUGUUUAAAGGGAAACAAUGAAUAAUAAUCAAAAAGAAUGCAGGAGGCAUCUUUAUGUGGUGCACUAGCAAAAUAGCAACCUGAAAUAUGCCUUGGGUAUAUUCAACACUGUUUUAUUCAUAAAGCUAUUUCACAAGUUCAGGAGCCGUGACCUCAAGCAAAAUUUAGCUCAUACAUGCAAUGAAAAUCAUGAAGGCCUGAGCUUGAGUCAAGUUAAUUGAGAUACAGGACACAUCAAGUACUUAUGAGUGUGAGGCAUUAAGGGGCAUGGGAAAUCCUGAGCAAUGCUGAAACCAAGUUAUAUUGUUGAAAUGGUCCAUAUCUGUUGGAGGGUA